rnacentral:lncRNA from 1 species
AAUGACCGUGGUGAUGUAGAGACCCUCAAGAAUCUUGCCCACACAAGGAUCCAAGUGGCUUCUGAGGAUUUAUCAUUUACUUCUGGCCUUGAUACCUUGGUGGGAAGCAUUACUGAACCAAGAAUUUUAAAGCACAUAGAAAAAGGAUUGCCAAGGAAGAAUCAGCAUGGCUUCUGCAAAUGAAAGCCUGGUCUUCUUCAACUAGGCAAAGGAAAACUUGGUCAACUUAAGGUCCAAACUAGCUCUGGCAAUGCAGGUUGUGGGCCACGUGCCAACG